rnacentral:rRNA from 1 species
GACGAACGCUGGCGGCGUGCCUAAUACAUGCAAGUCGAACGCUUCUUUUUCCACCGGAGCUUGCUCCACCGGAAAAAGAGGAGUGGCGAACGGGUGAGUAACACGUGGGUAACCUGCCCAUCAGAAGGGGAUAACACUUGGAAACAGGUGCUAAUACCGUAUAACAAUCAAAACCGCAUGGUUUUGAUUUGAAAGGCGCUUUCGGGUGUCGCUGAUGGAUGGACCCGCGGUGCAUUAGCUAGUUGGUGAGGUAACGGCUCACCAAGGCAACGAUGCAUGGCCGACGUGAGAGGGUGAGCGGCCAAACGGGGACUGAGACACGGCCCAGACUCCUACGGGGGGCAGCAGUAGGGAAUCUUCGGCAAUGGACGAAAGUCUGACCGAGCAACGCCGCGUGAGUGGAGAAGGUUUUCGGAUCGUAAAACUCUGUUGUUAGAGAAGAACAAGGAUGAGAGUAAAAUGUUCAUCCCUUGACGGUAUCUAACCAGAAAGCCACGGCUAACUACGUGCCAGCAGCCGCCGUAA